rnacentral:rRNA from 1 species
UGGGGAAUUUUGCGCAAUGGGGGAAACCCUGACGCAGCAACGCCGCGUGCGGGACGAAGGCCCUCGGGUUGUAAACCGCUUUCAGCAGGGAAGACUUUACGACGGUACCUGCAGAAGAAGCUCCGGCUAACUACGUGCCAGCAGCCGCGGUAAUACGUAGGGGGCGAGCGUUAUCCGGAUUCAUUGGGCGUAAAGCGCGCGUAGGCGGCCGCCUAAGCGGGACCUCUAACCCCGGGGCUCAACCCCGGGCCGGGUCCCGGACUGGGCGGCUCGAGUGCGGUAGAGGAGAGCGGAAUUCCCGGU